rnacentral:rRNA from 1 species
GAUGAACGCUGGCGGUACGUCUGACACAUGCAAGUCGAACGGUAAGCCACCUUCGGGUGGCCUAGAGUGGCGAACGGCUGAGUAACACGUAGGAACCUACCCCUCAGUUCGGGAUAACGGGACGAAAGCCCCGCUAAUACCGGAUAAUAUCGAAAGAUUGAAAGGUUUAUCUGCUGAGGGAGGGCCUGCGGGCUAUUAGCUUGAUGGUGGGGUAACGCUCACCAUGGCGAUGAUGGCAGCUGGUCUGAGAGGAUGACCAGCCAGACUGGGACUGAGACACGGUCCAGACUCCUACGGGAGGCAGCAGUGGGGAAUUUUGCACAAUGGGCGAAAGCCUGAUGCAGCAACGCCGCGUGUGUGAUGAAGGUCUUCGGAUUGUAAAGCACUUUCGACCGGGACGAAACCCCGUUGGCUAAUAUCCAGCGGUUUGACGGUACCGGGAGAAGAAGCACCGGCUAACUCUGUGCCAGCAGCCGCU